CAGGCUCAUAACCUGAAGGUCGUUGGUUCAAAUCCAGCCCCCGCAA
rfam:Alphaproteobacteria bacterium BRH_c36 BRHa_1005329, whole genome shotgun sequence.